rnacentral:piRNA from 1 species
UGCUCAGUGAUCUACCCACUAUAACCUCC